GUUCUCCAAUAAUUCUUUAUUUCAUUGUCUGUUCUUCCAGGCAAGUGUUGUGCAAUUUUCGACCACCUUCACAGUUUCAAAAGAAGAUUAGCCUAAGAUCAUUCUUAUGUUUAUUGAAUUGCAGAAAGGAGGAAAGCCAGCAAAAAACCUGUUGCCCCAGCGAGAAUGGAGUUCAAGAAUCAAUAGCUGCUCUUCGAGGCUGAUGUUUCCUCGUUUGAUUUCUGGUCGCAUAUAGUUCAGCCAUCUCAAUCUGCAGCUUUUUCCGGAGCACAAUUGGACAAAUCAUACGAGUAUGAAUUGUGAAGACCAAAGAGACAGUCUAAUGGCAAAUAGAUAAAAAGAAAAAGGGUCUUCUUAUAGGGACAAGUUGUCUUUGUUUAUUAUUACGCAUAUGUCUAUUGUUUUCUUCUGAUAUGGUUUGCAACAUGUGAGAUGAUGAGACGACUUUGCUUACACCUUUUUGAAGGGCCAAGUAUUACUGCAAUCACGUCUAAUUCUAUUUGGUCUGUUUAGUUUAACGGUUGAAUUGAAUGAAAAAUUAAAAAUAAAGGAAGUAGUGAAAUUAAUUAUUUUAGGGACAAA